rnacentral:lncRNA from 1 species
GCCUCCCCGGCAGUUGCGGCUGCCAGUGCCGUGGCUGCUGAGGACCCCCUGCUGCAGCGGUCUCUGUGGUCAGAGCCGUCCCCUCGGUGAAAUGUCUGCACUUCACCCUGCCUAGUCGCGCUCGCGUUCCUCUCACUCAGCACCUGAGCGGCCCCCGGACCCUCUGCGCGCACCUCUGGGGCUGACAAACCCGCUCCGACAGCGUUUCCCACGCCUCGGACUGCAGGUGAUGCUCUUCCUCUUCUGCAGCUGAAAUUCGUCGCGACGUGUCGCUUGCUCGGUUUUUGCAGGGUGGAAGCAGGAGCCGUCUCUGCAGACUGGACUGGACGACUUGUACUUUAUACUCCUCCAACUUCUGGAUGUGAUAUGUUAAAUACUUUUU